rnacentral:tRNA from 1 species
UUAAUUGAAACCAAAUAGAGGUAUAUUACUGUUAAUAAUAAAAAUGAGAAUUUCUCCAAUUAAU